AUUGAACGCUGGCGGCAUGCCUAGCACAUGCAAGUCGAACGGUAGCGGGACCUAGCUUGCUAGGUUGCCGACGAGUGGCGAACGGGUGAGUAACGCGUAGGAAUAUACCUUAGAGAGGGGGACAACCUGGGGAAACUCAGGCUAAUACCGCAUAAUGUCUAUGGACAAAAGCUGGGGACCUUCGGGCCUGGCGCUUUAAGAAUAGCCUGCGUACGAUUAGCUAGUUGGUGGGGUAAGGGCCUACCAAGGCGACGAUCGUUAGCUGGUCUGAGAGGAUGGACAGCCACACUGGGACUGAGACACGGCCCAGACUCCUACGGGAGGCAGCAGUGGGGAAUAUUGGACAAUGGGGGCAACCCUGAUCCAGCAAUGCCGCGUGUGAAGAAGGCCUGAGGGUUGUAAAGCACUUUCGGUCAGGAGGAGGGUUUAUUGGUUAAGAGCUGAUGAGCUGGACGUUACUGACAUAAGAAGCACCGGCUAACUCCGUGCCAGCCGCCGCCGUAA
rnacentral:rRNA from 1 species